UUGGGCAACGUGGUCUAGUGGAGGGUGUCCCUGCCCGUGGCAGGGGGGUUGGAACUAGAUGAUCUUUGAGGUCCCUUCCAACCCAAACCAUUCUAUGAUUCCAGGAUUCUAAGUAUGUCCUCACAUGGUGCCAGUUAGAAGCAAAAGUUCAUACUUAUUUGACUCUCCAGAUCAAGAACUUCCCAGGUUUAAUGAAGUAUUUUGAAAUGCUCUAAAAAGAUAUUGUAUACUAUUUGCUUUGAAGGAAAAAUCUAUUAUAGUUUUGUACUGUCUGGUGGAAAAAAAAUGGUUUUUUCCAUCUCUGAACGCAACCAGCAUUCUGUAGAUAGACAAGCUGAAGUAUUUUUGACUACGUUUUUUGUUUUUGCAGAUCUGCUGUCCAAACCAGUAUGCUGUGUUAUGCCAAUCUACUUCCUCGUCAGUGCGGCAGACAGCUGUAGUUAGAAUACAAGGCUUUUGUGUUCCACCAGCGCCCUUAUAUCAGGUUUUAUUCCAUUUAUUCAAGCAGUGGACAUGUUUCUGCCAGUCUCUGUGUUUUAUUUAAUUUGGGCAGAGCGUAUAUAAAACUGAACAGAUGGCUGAAAGCAGUGAAGGGAAGACCAUAAAUUGUACCACGUGCUCAGCCUCAUUUGAAUCGAGCUAUGUAGUAUUUUUUUGCCCACAUUGCAACAAAGAUCACAUGUGUUUUGGAGGUGCCUUAGCAGAGGCAUCCAGCCGAGCAGACAGUGACAGUGAGGAUAACAAUUAGCAUCAUCUUGUGAAGGAUUCAGCAUGUGUAGAAGAGAUAUUGUUCACAGAGAUCUAAAACUGGAAAACAUUUUAGUUAAAAGCAGUGACAUCGAUGAAGCAAAUGAAAUGAAAUUAAACAUAAAGUUUCAGGCAGUUUGUACCUUUCUUCCUGCAGAUCCUGGAUGUAGGUGCAAACGUUUUUCCUGGCCUCUGUCCCCUGAAUGAGAAAAGAUAUUACCUCAUUUCCCUUGUUCUCCUCAUUUUGAAGUUAUUCUCCUGAAUAACUUUAUUGGAAGAAGCUGAAAACAAGGAAGCAAACCCUGAAGCUGGUAUGGCUAGCAACAAUAAAAGCAGCGACAGGAAAGGAGAGGCCCAUCAUACAGCAUGAAAUAGAUAAACAGCUAAGAACCAACGUUUAUCUGCUUCAGAGGUGAGGCUCCUGGUUUUGGCUGUGAGAAAUAGUCUUCCUCAAUCUUUAUGAUUUUCUGGUUUUGGGCAGGGCAUGCAGGGAGAAUUACGGGAGAAAUUCAGACGGAUUCCUCAUGGUGAAAGAACAGAGGUUCUUCUGUACGAAACACUAGUAUAUGGCACAGGUGCAUACUGCCAUGGAGUUUAGAUGAAAUUUUGCUUAUAAGUAUAGAUAGACCUUCAGUUUCAAGCCACCUGUAGGUAUCAGGACAUUUCUUCCCAAACUCAGAGCUACCGACAACUUCAGGUAUAUGUACUGUCUCAUAGACUUUGAGGAAAAAAACUGUAAAAAUAUACUGAAGAAAUUGGCUUAUCUACUUAAAUAUUGCACCUGAAAAAGUCUUUGCUAUCAAGAUAAAAUCCUAUCUAUUAAAAGAAAUAAAAUUAGCAUUUCUUUACACCCUUUGAAAUGCUUUCCCACAUGAGGGAUGAAGUCAAAGUCCAAGGGAUGGGCCCCGAUUGCUUCCAGUUUUUGCAGCAAAAAAAGAGUUUAAGUAAUUUUUUUAUAAGGAAAGAUCACUCUCCGAAAGGAAACAAUCAAGGUUCCAGUUUGCUCUUUGUGGGUAGAUGGAUUAUUAUACCUGUAUGGAAGAUAAUGUGAGUGAUUUUUUGUUUGUUUGUUUGUUUUAAUUAUAUUUGAUUUUGAAUAUCAGGGCUCCUCAUGGUUUUGUCACAUGGGACAGGAAAGGGAAGGAGGAAGUGAGUUUAGGUAAUCACAGCCUAUUCCAGGACACCCAAAAUGCCUACAAGGGCGUACUAGAAAAUAGGAUCUGCUACCCUCCGUCCCAACACGCACCAUUUUUCCCCCUGUUAACAGAAAAGGUACAGUGGCUGAACUGUAAUAUCCUGGAAUGCAGAAAUACUAAAUUUGUGACCAAACCUCACUUAUCUCAUCAUGAUGUACAGCAUGACUCUAAUACUUCAGGUAAACUUUUCUUAGUUCCGUGGCUUUGAUAUUGUGCUGCAUAUGGCAUGACAAUUAUUUGAAAGACAUAGACUUUCAGUUUUGUCUCCUUACAGGGAACUUCUAGAGGCAACCAUAAUUUGGCCCCAUUUCACUUCACUAGUCUCAAAUACUGGUGCUUAAAGGGGUGAGGAAACAGAAUGCAAUAAUCUUAUUCCUUCCUAAUGCGUUAACUAAUGUAAACUUGGGGAAGUAGUUUUCACUUAUAGACACUGGUAAAAUAACAAGGAGCAGCUAUGUUUAAAAAACCCAACCAACAAAACCCAAAAACCUCCAGCUUUCUAAUUAAAACUUUGCCCACUGUAAAGAUUUUUUUGAGUGUUGAGAGAGGGUGGACACACAAAUGUCUGUUCCAGUGAAUUCCAGAAUUAUAACAGGACAAGAGAAAAAAGUUAUAGUGUCUAAGUAUGAGUGUAUUCUCUCUCUCUCAAUUUGCUCACUUGACUUCUGUCUAGAAUAAAAUUCAUUUGGUUCAUCUUAAACCAAAGCAAAAGUAACACUCUGGUUUUAGUUAAGAUUUUCUAGCUGUCACCUUUUGGUUGAAUGUUGGAGCUGAUGUUGUACUCUACCUGUGGGACUUCUAUAAACACAGGUAAGUCCAGUUCUUUGGUCUUUUUAAGAGCUACAAUUCGCUGGGUUCCUUCCAGAUCAAAGAGUCAUAGAAUGUCUAAGCCCCUUCUUUUUCUGCUUUUCUUUUCUCACAGGGAUUGUCGUACUACCUUAAACUGCCUAUAUUUCUAAUCUCAUACAAUUGUCUCUGAGACCCAAAACAUCAGCUUCAGAGAAAGGUGCAGCUAUAACUGAUAACAACUUGUUAGCGGGGCUGAUCAGAUUUUAUGCAGCUGCUGUGGAAUAAAUUGUCCAUCAUUAGAAGAAUUUACAUUUCAUAUGUGUUUUGCAUUAUAUAAACGUUAGUGUUCAAGGUACCUAUUUCUGAUGUGUCCAUUUUACUAAGUUAUAGCUUCUACGAAGCAGCGAAUUCCACAGAUUAACACUGUGUUUGUUCACAGUGUGGUGCAACUGUUGGAUCCUUGGCACACUGCUCACACUGUCUGUCUCUGCGGUCUGUCAGAGAUCAGGUCUUCUGAGGAUCAGGAGGGGACAGGUUGGAACAGCCCCUGAAGUUAUCAGUGCCUAUGACUACAGCCAACAGUGUGACAUUUGGAGCAUAGGUGUCAUUAUGUACAUGCUGGUGAAACACAUGUUGUCCAGAGACUGUGUCUGGGAGUUAAUGAAGGAAUGGAAUAAUAAUCUAGACAUUGGCAAGGAAUGCAGUAGGGAAGAAGAAUCAAGUAACCCUGCUACUACAUGGCAACAGGAUGAAACCAGUGAAGCACAAGAAAGCUCUACCAGUAACAAUGGUAACAGAACUUGGUGCAGAAAUUGAAACAGAGAAUGGGGGCAACAAAUCCUCCACAUCAGCAAAAAGGUAGGCCAGUACCUCCAGUGUCAAAUUCAAAGCAGAAUCGGAAUUGCCAAGAAAAGAAGGGAGAACGGACAAGUCCUUGGUGCCUUCCACCCAGGAACUGGGAAAUAAAAGCCUAAAAGUCUGCUGUCUUGCUCGGAACCAAACAGAAAUCACAGGACAUCCAUCAACUCUGAACAACUUAAGAGUAAACAACUAUUACUUGUGCUAAAAUGAGCAGACUAUAUAAAGAUGGACAAAUAUAUCCUGAAGUGUUUGCCGCUCUACUCUCCUGAACCCUUUAAUCAGAAAGCUUUAGUUUUCCUUUAGCACUAAAGAAAAUCUAACAGCUGUGUGAACUCCUAACCUGUAAGAGGACAUCCGCUGAUAGUAUUUUUGUCAGAGUAUGAAUUAUAGAAUUGUCUAAAAACGUAGGUAAUUUAUUUGUUCUAUACUAAUAGGCACCAUGCCAGGUAAGCAGUUUGCUUUCACAAAUCCAUUUUGCUGUGUUUUACUUAGAUUUACUUUCUUUACUUUUGUCACAAACAUUUGGGGGGUGGGGUGGGAAAUGAGGCCAGAAUCUGUAACUGCAUGCUUUACACUCAGAAUAUUCUAGGAAAUUGCUUAUAAAUUUGCUUGAGGCAUUAUAGCACAAGUGCUUUAGUCUAUGGAAUUUGUUACUGCUAUUUUAGGUUGCUGUCAAUUGCUUAUUUUUAAGCAGAACUUAUUCUAAGCUUGACGAAUAGGAAAUGUAUUUUUAAGUACAAUGGAAUUGCUAUGGUUCUCACUACUGAAUUUCUGGUGUGUUGAUUAAAUUCUUUAAAUAAAACAGGUGUUAGAGUAA